rnacentral:rRNA from 1 species
GAUGAACGCUAGCGGCAGGCCUAACACAUGCAAGUCGAGGGGUAGAGUUCUUCGGGACUUGAGACCGGCGCACGGGUGCGUAACGCGUAUGCAAUCUACCUUAUACAGGGGAAUAGCCCCAGAGAAAUUUGGAUUAAUGCCCCAUAGUGUUAUCGAAUCGCAUGGUUUGAUAACUAAAGUUCCAACGGUAUAAGAUGAGCAUGCGUCCCAUUAGUUAGUUGGUAAGGUAACGGCUUACCAAGACAAUGAUGGGUAGGGGUCCUGAGAGGGAGAUCCCCCACACUGGUACUGAGACACGGACCAGACUCCUACGGGAGGCAGCAGUGAGGAAUAUUGGACAAUGGGCGCAAGCCUGAUCCAGCAAUGCCGCGUGCAGGAUGAAGGCCUUCGGUU